AUACGUAGGGGGCGAGCGUUGUCCGGAAUGAUUGGGCGUAAAGGGCGCGUAGGCGGCCCGGUAAGUCUGGAGUGAAGGUCCUGUUUUUAAGAUGGGAAUUGCUUUGGAUACUGUCGGGCUUGAGUGCAGGAGAGGCAAGUGGAAUUCCCAGUGUAGCGGUGAAAUGCGUAGAGAUUGGGAGGAACACCAGUGGCGAAGGCGACUUACUGGACUGUAACUGACGCUGAGGCGCGAAAGUGUGGGGAGCAAACAGGAUUAGAUACCCUGGUAGUCCACACUGUAAACGAUGAAUACUAGGUGUAGGGGGUAUCGACUCCCUCUGUGCCGCAGUUAACACAAUAAGUAUUCCGCCUGGGGAGUACGGCCGCAAGGUUGAAACUCAAAUGAAUUGACGGGG
rnacentral:rRNA from 1 species